GGGCCCGCACAAGCGGAGGAACAUGUGGUUUAAUUCGAUGAUACGCGAGGAACCUUACCCGGGCUCGAACGGCUAAUGAAUGAGUGUGAAAGCAUUCAGCUGUCAAAAGCAUUAGUCGAGGUGCUGCAUGGUUGUCGUCAGCUCGUGCCGUGAGGUGUCGGCUUAAGUGCCAUAACGAGCGCAACCCUUAUCUUUAGUUACCAUCAGGUUAAGCUGGGGACUCUAGAGAGACUGCCACCGUAAGGUGUGAGGAAGGUGGGGAUGACGUCAAAUCAGCACGGCCCUUACGUCCGGGGCGACACACGUGUUACAAUGGGAGGGACAAAGGGCAGCUACCUGGCGACAGGAUGCUAAUCUCCAAACCCUCUCCCAGUUCGGAUCGAAGUCUGCAACCCGACUUCGUGAAGCUGGAUUCGCUAGUAAUCGCGCAUCAGCCAUGGCG
rnacentral:rRNA from 1 species